rnacentral:lncRNA from 1 species
CAGCAGGGAAGUGACUGACUGCAGACAGCACUGUUUAAGUGGCUUAUUAACUUAUGUUUAUAACUCUCACAGUCUCACCUUACCAUCAGGCUUUAAUACAGGCUAACUGGGCUAGAGCCACUCUGUCACGAUAAUUGGUUCAAGGACAAUUUUUUUUGAUGAAAGGUAGAUUAGCUUAGAAUAUAACAUACUGGGCUUGGUUUUGAGAAGACUAAUGCACAAAUCUCUAUUCAGACACUUAUUCAUUGUGCAAUCCUAGUAUAAGGAUUUUAUAACUUUCCCUCCCCAUUAAACAAGCCCCAAGGAAACUCAAACACCCCUUGACAGGGACUCUCUCACCUUGUCAGAGAAAGGCUAGGAGAAUGGGCCCAGAACCUAUUCCAGUCCCCAACAGGGCAGCAGGGAGUUUGCAUACCAAGUAGUUUCCAAUUCCCUAGGAUUCUUUCUUCCCCUCUCUUGCAUAAAUCAGCAACAAUAUCUAGGUCAAGGUAGUUCAUAUCCUUCUCACAAUAGAGAAGGGGGUCCUGUUAGACCUAAAUAAGAAUGCUCUAAAAAGUUAAGAUUGUAUUGCUCUAGGAGAGAAGAGGAGAGAGGAUGCUCCAUUCUAUCCUGUGUCCUAGUAGGAUUCUCAUUUUCUCCUAGUGCCAAAUGGACCUGCUUCAUCGCUUUUCCUCAUGUCCCUGCAUUUUGAAGGAGAUUGAUAAACCCGAGAACAAUGAGAGCAUGGCAUUCAGGAGAAUGCAGGACUUAGAGUUCAUGCCAAAAGAAGACUGAAGAAACAGAUUAUGUUUAAAUUGGAUCAGAGAAGUUUGAUGGGGACAUAAAAAUUCAAUCAGACUAAGUUCUGGGAAUACAAAGAAAAGUAAAAACAAGGAAAGUGAAAACAUGAUACCAUGUCCUAAAGGAGAAGGUAAUUUGAAAAUUAUACAUAUAUUUACAUAUGCAUACAAUUCUAUAUGUAUAUGUAUGUUAUUGCUCU